AGCAGGGUGGCGCAGUGGAAGCGUGCUGGGCCCAUAACCCAGAGGUCGGUGGAUCGAAACCACUUCCUGCUA